GCGCGGGUGAUGGAACUGGUAGACAUACUAGACUUAAAAUCUGGGGCCCACAAGGCGUGCGGGUUCGACUCCCGCUCCGCGCACCA
rnacentral:tRNA from 1 species